GACGAACGCUGGCGGCGUGCCUAAUACAUGCAAGUCGAGCGGACUGAUUAAGAGCUUGCUCUUAUGACGUUAGCGGCGGACGGGUGAGUAACACGUGGGCAACCUGCCCUGUAGAUCGGGAUAACACCGAGAAAUCGGUGCUAAUACCGGGUAAUAUCUGAGAUCACAUGAUCUUAGGUUAAAAGAUGGCUCCGGCUAUCACUACAGGAUGGGCCCGCGGCGCAUUAGCUAGUUGGUAAGGUAAUGGCUUACCAAGGCGACGAUGCGUAGCCGACCUGAGAGGGUGAUCGGCCACACUGGGACUGAGACACGGCCCAGACUCCUACGGGAGGCAGCAGUAGGGAAUCUUCCGCAAUGAACGAAAGUCUGACGGAGCAACGCCGCGUGAGUGAUGAAGGGUUUCGGCGCGUAAAGCUCUGUUGUUAGGGAAGAAACAGUACCGAACGAACUAGGUCGGUACCUUGACGGUACCUAACCAGAAAGCCACGGCUAACUACGUG
rnacentral:rRNA from 1 species